GACGAGCGCUGGCGGCGUGCCUAAUACAUGCAAGUUGAGCGAUGAAGCUUGGUGCUUGCACCAAUUUGAAGAGCAGCGAACGGGUGAGUAACGCGUGGGGAAUCUGCCUUUGAGCGGGGGACAACAUUUGGAAACGAAUGCUAAUACCGCAUAACAACUUUAAACAUAAGUUUUAAGUUUGAAAGAUGCAAUUGCAUCACUCAAAGAUGAUCCCGCGUUGUAUUAGCUAGUUGGUGAGGUAAAGGCUCACCAAGGCGAUGAUACAUAGCCGACCUGAGAGGGUGAUCGGCCACAUUGGGACUGAGACACGGCCCAAACUCCUACGGGAGGCAGCAGUAGGGAAUCUUCGGCAAUGGACGAAAGUCUGACCGAGCAACGCCGCGUGAGUGAAGAAGGUUUUCGGAUCGUAAAACUCUGUUGGUAGAGAAGAACGUUGGUGAGAGUGGAAAGCUCAUCAAGUGACGGUAACUACCCAGAAAGGGACGGCUAACUACGU
rnacentral:rRNA from 1 species